AUGUAUGUGUCAAAUACCUGACUGCGCCCAGCAUCACGUGGUACGGCUCAUUAUAUUGUUGUGUACUGAGGAACAUGUAACUUGGUUAGUCAAGGUUGGGGGCUUUAGGUUGGGGGCUUUCAUCAAGGUUAGUGUUUCUGUAGGUUGGGGGCUUUCAUCAAGGUUAGUGUUUCUAUAGGUUGGGGGCUUUCAUCAAGGUUAGUGUUUCUUUAGGUUGGGGGCUUUCAUCAAGGUUAGUGUUUCUUUAGGUUGGGGGCUUUCAUCAAGGUUAGUGUUUCUUUAGGUUGGGGGCUUUCAUCAAGGUUAGUGUUUCUUUAGGUUGGGGGCUUUCAUCAAGGUUAGUGUUUCUGUAGGUUGGGGGCUUUCAUCAAGGUUAGUGUUUCUAUAGGUUGGGGGCUUUCAUCAAGGUUAGUGUUUCUAUAGGUUGGGGGCUUU
ensembl:lncRNA